CUCAAGAAGUAAACCUCAUCCGAGUUUCCCAUCAUGCUCUUGGUCUUGUUCCUGCUCACACUCUUCAAUUACUGGUCAGGUUCUUUUGGCCAGUAUGUCCUGACUCAACCAUCCUCUGUGUCUGUGAUGCCAGAACAAAAUGCCCAGAUCACUUGUUCAGGGAACAACAUUGGGAGCAAGAAUGUGCAGUGGUACCGGCAGAAGCCCGGAAUGGCCCCAGUCCUCAUCAUAUAUUAUAGUACCAGCAGACCCUCUGGGAUCUCAGACCGAUUCUCUGGCUCCAACUCUGGCAACACAGCCACUUUAAGCAUUGCCAGAGCCAAAGCAGAGGAUGAGGCCAAUUAUUACUGCAGUGUGUGGGACAGCAAUGCUGCUCACAGUGAUACAAGCAGAGGGGGAAGUCAGGAGUGA